GGUUUCAUAGUGUAGUGGUUAGCACUCCUGCUUUACAUGCAGAAGGUCCUGGGUUCAUGCCCCAGUGGAGCUA
rfam:Pteropus alecto contig89995, whole genome shotgun sequence.